GUAUUGAAAGAUUUGAUGAAGACAAUAACCUUCAGAGAAUAAUAACCAGUUACAGUGACGAAGAAGAUAAUAUCAACGUUGUAGUGAGGGUCAGGCCACUUAGCAAGAAGGAAAUUAAGUCAGGUGAUGACUAUGUUGUGCAGUUUCCGGGAAACGGACAAAUUUUGGUGGACGGGAUACCUGGCGGGCCCAGCGGAGGUCAAAAACCGAAACUGUUUUCAUAUAACGUUGUCUUCGAACCAGCUGCAACUCAGGAAGACGUCCUUCAGUUCUCCGGAAUGAAGAGACUCAUUGAAAUGUCU